CGGCGUUAAAACGAAAUAAACAGCAACUCUUCAGCUGUACUAACAAAAGCUCAAUUCGUAAAUGUGAUCGUUCCCCUCAUUUCUUGAAAAACGAUUUAAAAAGUUGACGCCUUGCUGCCAGAGCUCCAAUAUAAAAAACACCACAUCUUGGCUUUUCAGUUAUACGCAAAUGAAAAUUUAUGUUCGUGGUCACGCGCAUCUCUCAAACGCUAUCGUCUUCGACGUGUAAUAAUUCUCCAAUUAUUCCUGACAUCGUCGUGAUUCUUUCGAUCAGUUAAGGUGUCGCUAGAACUAAUAUUCUGCUUCGGAUUUUUGCUACAACCUACCAAGCUGAGCAUGCGCAUUCCAACGAUCUUUUACACGGCGCGACGAGAAAGUUUACUACGACUAGAUACGAAACGAGAAACGUCUUGGACGUCUAGACGACCGUGAGCCAAACUUCCGCGAAUUGCAAGAAAUUUUACCUGACUGCAUUACUCGUGAUAUGAAAUUCGAUUCGUGAGUAUUCCAACUAAGGCAUGAAACUCUAUCAAUCGUCGACGUUGCGUAUACAACCGUUUUGUGCAGUGAUGAGCACAAAGAAAAUAACGAAAGAUUUUUGAGACUUUUCGAGUAACUAUUCCGAAGCAUUAUUCUAGUUGUCAAGGCAACGCGCGUUGUUCGAACGAGGGUGCUAAACCGAGACGAAAAAGCGGGUGAAGAAGAGAAAAUUGAAGAUUACUGACUGGAGAAAGAGACAGGAAGAGAACGAUAUUGGAAAAAAGAAAGAGAAAGACGAAAAGUUCGGAGAUAAGUGGAGCGUGAAACGGUGAAAAGAACGAGACACGUCGGCAACGUAGCGUCGAGCUCGGUAUCUCAGUUCGUUGCUGAGAGAAUGAAAGAAAGAGAGAUAAAGAGCGUCAGAGGCGGAGCAAGAAAGACCGGUAAUGAACUCUGGCAACGUUGCCGAUUGUUUAGGAUUUUUUUACCGAGCGAGAUCGACCGUGAGAAAGAAAGAGACGAUCAUAGCGCCCGAGAAAAAGGAAAGAGAGAGAUGCGGAAAGAAGGAAAGAAGGAAAGGCGCAAAGAGAGUGAAAGAGAUGGAUAAUGGGAGAGGAAAAGGGAGAGAGCGAGGGGAAGAAAUCGAAAUAACGAGUCACUGGGUAUACCCACGAGUGGUUACAGUAGAAAAACGUCUCGUAUGUACACCUACUGUUUCGAAGUUGAGCAAACGUCAACUUCAUUUCCUCUCCCUCCCCUGUCUCUUUUGCUCUCUCAUUUUCUCUCUAUACUUGUGUCGUCCUUGGUUAAUCGAUAGCAACAAACACAAGCGUGCCAAGAAAUAUUCACGGAAAUUAUAAACCGCCUUGUACACAAACGAUUCUGUGAUAAACGUACGACGAAGGUUAGUCGAUGGACGAUGAACGCGUCAAACGAGACUAGCCGAUCUAAAGCUCUAGGGCUUAAGAUGAUGGAACGUUUUAUUUUCGACCCUGCAUUCGAUCUUCGAUCCUUCUUAUAAAUGUGACUUUUUUUAAGCUCCUUCGAUUCGUUCCCUAGAAAAUGUCAUCGAUAACGAAGACACGUUCACAGAACGAGUGAUGAUAUAACUGCAGCGAUAAAUCGAUGUCUGCGUGGAUCGCGCUGGACAAACAAAUUUCAAAAACGGGGUACCUUCGAAUCCUCGAAAUUUUUAAGUCAUCGUGUAAGCGAAAAAAAACGUGCUUUUUCCGACAACUGUUACCGGGCAGCGUGAUAGUGAGGCGAAAUAAUAAUCUUCCGGGUUCAUCAAAUUUAGGGCUAUACGUGAGUUAAAAAAACGAACACUUACAGCUCGUGAAGAAGGAAUAAAAAGAAGGACGAGUUGAAAUAUCCUGCUGAUUCGAGGCCUCCACUUUUACUACGCUCAGCCUGUAAGGCUGCACAUUUGAUCGCGAAUGUUCACCUAACACUCCGUAGCUCGUUGAUAACGUGUUACGAAUAAAUUGGGUAACUGCAGAAACAAGAAUCGAGAGGGUCGCGAAAAAAUUUAUACGGAGUCGAUAAAGCCAGAUUCCGUCCAUAAUUAUAUUCCACGCUGGAAAACGGGUAUCACGAUUUAUAUCGGGCUAGACGGAUUGUAUUAUAUUCAACGACUACCGUACAUCUGGCUCUUCCCACUGGACUGAUUUCGUCGUACGUCUGAGUAUUUCAAAGAACCUACAAUGACCCGCCAACUUCGCAGUCCUGGGAAAGGUCCAAUUACUGUAGCCGUCUACUAUUUCACGUUUGGGAAGAAGACUCGAAGGUCAGAACCCGGACCUAGGUAAAAAGACCUUAGCGAGUCUUACCCCGAAGAAAAAUGGAACAAAAAGAGCCCUUGAAAAUAUAAAAAUCUGGAAACAUUAUCCAAACUCGUCAUUUUGUGUCUGGCGAGACACAGGUCAGGGGCUGUUUUUUUGAAACUGCUAUCAACUUAACUCCGUUCCGAUUUGAUGGAAUAGUGUUUUACUUUAAUUUUCAAUUCAGGAAAAAAACAGUGACGCAUUAAUUAAGAAUAAAUUUGAUGCAUGUUUUGUAUCAGCGUCAACUAUUUCUUGGUUUUUGGGCUCCAACUGAAGUGAAUAAAAAUUCUUAAAUGAUCUGCAG